rnacentral:lncRNA from 1 species
AAGUCAUUUCACACCCCUAAACCGUCCUUAAUCACUCCAAAUCAUUGAUAAGGGGUUUUUAAACACAUAAUUACAAUCCCUAAGCCCUAAAUCAGUCAAGUUACGAUCCAAAACCCUUUCUCUCUUCCCAAGAACAAAAUCUAAGUUUACCUCUCAAGAAUCAAGAAGUUAAGCUCCGAAUUCAAAGUUCUCUACAAGGAUUCUUUCAAUCAAGCUUGAAGGUCCAAUCUUUCAACGAAUUUGUUACCAUAAAGGUAUGUGGG